rnacentral:rRNA from 1 species
GACGAACGCUGGCGGCGUGCUUAACACAUGCAAGUCGAACGGAAAGGCCCUGCUUUUGUGGGGUGCUCGAGUGGCGAACGGGUGAGUAACACGUGAGUAACCUGCCCUUGACUUUGGGAUAACUUCAGGAAACUGGGGCUAAUACCGGAUAGGAGCUCCUGCUGCAUGGUGGGGGUUGGAAAGUUUCGGCGGUUGGGGAUGGACUCGCGGCUUAUCAGCUUGUUGGUGGGGUAGUGGCUUACCAAGGCUUUGACGGGUAGCCGGCCUGAGAGGGUGACCGGCCACAUUGGGACUGAGAUACGGCCCAGACUCCUACGGGAGGCAGCAGUGGGGAACACUGCACAAUGGGCGGAAGCCUGAUGCAGCAACGCCGCGUGCGGGAUGACGGCCUUCGGGUUGUAAACCGCUUUCGCCUGUGACGAAGCGUGAGUGACGGUAAUGGGUAAAGAAGCACCGGCUAACUACGUG